GACGAACGCUGGCGGCGUGCCUAAUACAUGCAAGUCGAGCGGACGAAUCGAAAGCUUGCUUUUGAUUCGUUAGCGGCGGACGGGUGAGUAACACGUGGGCAACCUGCCCUGUAGACGGGGAUAACACCGAGAAAUCGGUGCUAAUACCGGAUAACACGAAAUGUCGCAUGACGUUUCGUUGAAAGACGGCGCAAGCUGCCGCUACAGGAUGGGCCCGCGGCGCAUUAGCUAGUUGGUGAGGUAACGGCUCACCAAGGCGACGAUACGUAGCCGACCUGAGAGGGUGUUCGGCCACACUGGGACUGAGACACGGCCCAGACUCCUACGGGAGGCAGCAGUAGGGAAUCUUCCGCAAUGGACGAAAGUCUGACGGAGCAACGCCGCGUGAGCGAAGAAGGCCUUCGGGUCGUAAAGCUCUGUUGUUAGGGAAGAACAAGUAACGCAGUAACUGGCGUUACCGUGACGGUACCUAACGAGAAAGCCACGGCUAACUACGUG
rnacentral:rRNA from 1 species